rnacentral:rRNA from 1 species
GUGAGGAAUUUUGGACAAUGGGGGCAACCCUGAUCCAGCGACGCCGCGUGGAGGACGAAGGUCUUAGGACUGUAAACUCCUUUUGUCCGCGAAUAAGAAACUUAUAGAAAUAUAGGGAGUGAAUGUACCGGAUGAAUAAGCCACGGCUAACUUCGUGCCAGCAGCCGCGGUAAUACGAAGGUGGCAAGCGUUACUCGGAAUUACUAGGCGUAAAGCGUAGGUAGGUGGUUUGAUAAGUCUGCUGUGUAAGCUCCUGGCUCAACUGGGAGAGGUCAGCGGAUACUGUCGAACUUGAGUGUGGGAGAGGUUACCGGAAUUCCCGAAGUAGCGGUGAAAUGCGCAGAGAUCGGGAGGAACACCAAAGGCGAAAGCAGGUAACUGGACCACUACUGACACUAAGCUACGAAAGCUAGGGGAGCAAACAGG